rnacentral:rRNA from 1 species
GUAGGGGGCCAGCGUUGUUCGGAAUUACUGGGUGUAAAGGGUUCGUAGGCGGUGCGGCAAGUCGGGAGUGAAAUCUCUGGGCUCAACCCAGAGACUGCUUCCGAAACUGCUGUGCUUGAGUGUGGGAGAGGCGCGUGGAAUUGCAGGUGUAGCGGUGAAAUGCGUAGAUAUCUGCAGGAACACCCGUGGCGAAAGCGGCGCGCUGGACCACUACUGACGCUGAAGAACGAAAGCUAGGGGAGCAAACAGGAUUAGAUACCCUGGUAGUCCUAGCCCUAAACGAUCAGGACUUGGGGUGCCACCCGUUCGGGUGGCGUCCCGGAGCUAACGCGUUAAGUCCUGCACCUGGGGAGUACGGUCGCAAGACUG